rnacentral:tRNA from 1 species
GCCGGGAUGGCGGAAGUGGUAGACGCACGGGACUUAAAAUCCUGCGAACGUAAAGUUCGUGCGGGUUCAAUUCCCGCUCUCGGCACCA